ensembl:lncRNA
UACAUGCUUUAAAGCUUUAUUUGGAAGUCUGGGCCCUUUAUUUGAAACAUAAAAGUAUACAAGUUAAAACACAGAUCACUGUAUCUUCAUAGUAUUGGGAGAGCUAGUGGUCCAGCCUGCACAUGUGAAAGGAAACAGAGAAUGUGCAGAGUGCCAAAGGCUUGCCUGGCAGGUAAGGGAGGAGGGAAAAGGAAUGCUGGACACUGGCUGACUAGCAGCUUCAGCCUACACACAAACAGCCUGGAUAUUGCCGAGAUUUAGUUGUAUUGUAGUUGAUGUAUAAUUAAUUCAUUUAAGCCUGGAUAAAUGUCUUUGUAAUUUUAAAUCUAAAUAAACCCCUUCAUCCAUUAGGGUACGAUGCAGUAUUUUGAGAUGUGUGUUCAUAUUUUGAAAUCUUGGGCACUUAAGUGAUUCUCCAGGUGGGCAGCUUUCAUGCUGCAGUUUAGUAUCAAAAGCAAAUUCCCCUACCUGGCAGCAGGGCUGUCCUGGAAAUGCCUUUCUGGCAUAACUAAGGCAGCCUCUGCUGGGCAUAGCAUCAUAGCAUGGCUCAGACAUCAGCAGUCCCUCUCCUGGCCGAGUGUGUGAACAGCUAUUCCUUGAUUCCUCGAGCUCUAGGAGACUUUUUUUUUUUUUUUUUUUUUUUUUUUUUUUUUUUUUCCCAGAUACUUAAUUGGUUUUUUUGCUGCAGAUACACAUAUAUUCUAAUACAAGUUUUAUGAAUGUCCUAAUACAUUUAUCCCUCCAUUUUUUUCUUUAAAAUAGGGGGGAAUAGGGGAAUUAUCUUUUAUGAUUUUUACAAAAUCAUAUGAAAGCUUUUCUGUAUUUCUGGUCUGUAAUUCUGGAUAAGGACCUGGAAGUGAGUUAAUAAAAGUUGUAAGCUACUCUAUUAACUGUAUCUGAUAGUAAUAACAGACCAACAUAAGAGAAAACUGUUCUUUUUAUUUAGGCUUAUUUAUUUAUCUUCUUUAACUAAUCAAGGUUGCACUAGUAUGCACCCCCUUGUGAAACAAUGAAAAGAGGGGAUAUUCCUGACCAUUAAGACUGGCUUUGACAGAUGAUUACACUGUAGGAAACACGCAAAUGUUCAGUCCAGCUUUAAUAUAGCAACACAACAGUAUCCAAUCCAGCUAGUAAAGAAGCUUUUUCAGUGGACUAAAUACUUCUGUCCCUCUUCCACCUGUACAAAAGUGACCUCUCUCUACCAAAGUGCAUUUUUGUUCUAUAUUUUCUUGUUUCAAUGACAUACAUGUCCAGGUACCUCUGAAUCUCUAGUUUCUACUUUUAGACUUAGAUAUCAAAGUUCCUAAUUGAGUUCAUGAGAUAAUUUUCUUUCCUCAUUAUGGUCUUCUAUUAACGUUUCUCAUUUCUCUGAGAUUUAUUAUCUAAUCUUUGCUUGCCAGUGGCUGAAAUACAUUUGCCAUUUGCUCUUGAGAGUUCUGGGUACAGUAAGAAAGAUAUGGAUUCUAAUCACAUUAAUUCUUAAAUGACUUUGCUAACAUUUUUCAUUCACUUUUUACCUCCCAUCCCUUUUGGGAUGGAAAUGAAGAAUGCAUAUCUGCUUAAUCAAAAACAGGCCUAAUCAAUAACACUUUUUUAGUGUGUAUAUAUUUAUAUAUAUGUAAAAACAUAUAUGUCAUGGCCCAUUCUCUCUAAUAGAAAAAGAAUAAAUUUGAGGUAGUAGCAUAUCAAAUAAAUUAUGGUGACGCUAUAGGGCCGGUAAUUUUUACUAUGCAGUAAAAUUAUAAUGAGAUAUAUAUUAUUAAAAAUAUUUUUAAUAAAUUGUCAGUUUUGUAAAAAUACCUUUCUGUUCAUCAGAAAAUCUCUAAACUUCAUCUUCAUCCAUGUGUACAUUUUUGAGAUACUUUGAGACGCCUCACUUGUUUCUGACUUCUGUCAACAUGUAUCUUACUCUUCUGAGGUAUUCAGAGUAUAUGUUGUUAUAAAAUAUACAACUGUGAUGUCACUGAAUCCAUAUUGAGCCUUAAGGGGAAAAUCCUAAUCUUACAAAACAAGAGAAAGAACUGUAACUUGUUCUCUAUGUCUUUUUGGAAGAAGCUUGCCUCAACCAGCCAAUAAGUCUCAAAAAAAAAAAAAAAAAGUAAUUUUGUGUUUAAAAGUUCUAGAGCGGACAUGGCAACAUAUUUUAAUAGUAUAUCUUUUUCAUAACCAUAAUGAGCUGAUGUAGUGUGGUUGCUUGGGAAAGGGCAGGUUUCAUGUGUAAGGAAUCAGUAUACACAUUAUUCGUUCAAAAAUACAUUUUUCUGCAAGACAGCUCCAUCCAAAAACUGGACAGUGAUGGUAUUUAAAUAUCUGUGCAAUAGAUGCUACUAGUGUUGCCAAAUGAACACUCAGCAACUGUGUCUGUAGGUGCUUGUGAUAAAAUGUGCUCCUAAGUUUUGUACCAUUUUAAUGAUAAAAUUAUUGCUAUCAUUGAUUUUUUCUUCUACUAUGAAGUAAUAGUCUUGAAACAUUCAAGAUGUUUAGAAGUAAAAUAAGUCUGCUCCUGCGUAUAGUUUUCCCAGUCAACACUGUCUUCAGUAGAAAAUAUAGUUGAAGAUUACAAAAGGGAUUUUCCUGUAUUUUCAAAGUUUAAUCAAAGAAUGAGAAAUAUAUCCCAAACCAAGAAGAAUCCAGAAAAAUGAUGCUCAAACAUCUGGUUUGCUCCCUUUUUCUUACCAACAGUUGUUUUUCACUCUCACAGUCUCCUGUUGCAGCUGUUCCACUUUGCUAGAAACGCCUCCAUUUUCAUGGGUACAUCUAUUUGAGACCUGUGGUUACCCACCUCUUUUGUCCUUCUGCAGCAACAUCUUUUUUUUUGCUUUGAUGUUUCCUAAAGAAACCUCAUCAGAGCUUCCUACCCUCUUUUUGCCCCUCUUGCUUACAGCCUUCACUGUAGUAGGCAUAAGGAAAAAACUCUUGACUUUGCACUGUAAUGCAAGUAAUCCUGUUAUUUCCAUGGCCCUUUUGGGCUGAUAUUCCAAGUUUCAAUUCCUUCUUCUGAAACACCCAUUUAAAUGCCAAUUAUUAUUAUUCCUGUCAGGACCACAUAAAUAUCAUAUACUGAGGUACUAAAACUUUAUUUCUCCUGCAAAAAAUCUUCCUGGUGUGUCAUAGGAUCACAACUGCUUUACAGUGUUACUUUACAUCAGUGAUUCAGAAGCACCUCUCUUCUCUGAUUCUGACUAAUGAACUGAAUUUAGCAACAGUAUAAAAGAAGCUACUUGCAGACAUGGGACACACUGUGCUGAAGAUCCUGACACAGCUGGAGCAUCCACCAGACGCACUACCUAAGGGGUACCCAGCAUAUCUGCACCCCUACACAUGAUCCUUUGACUAUCUCCCUGCACCCAUGCCCCUGUUCAUAGUGCAGUAGUAGUGGUCACUGUCUCCUGAGUAGACUCUGAGAAUCUUGAGGAAUCUUUCCCUUCUGUGAACACAAUGAAAGCUCUUCCUUUCUCUUUCUCAGUACUUUUUGUGCACAGAUUUAUUUCUGUUCCUCUCUCCUUUGAUGUUUCACGCCUUCUGAGAAGAAUAUAGUCAAUCACAAGGCCUUAACUAUUCAAGACCAUAAAGACUGCAUUUAAACUGUUACCCUUAAAGUCUUUGAAGUCCCCCCAGUCCAGCAUUAAUUUUCCUGGGUUACUCGCCUUGAGUUAAUUAGUUCUCUGUGCUCACUGCCCACAGCUUUGAUUUAUUUUGGAGGUUUCCUUAGUUGCUCAGAAAAUGAUUUCUUCUUUCUGCAUGUGAAUGAAAUGUAAAAAUGGUCUUCAGUAUUCUGCAAGAUUAUUAAUUCAGGAAGAUGAAAACCAUAUUGUCGUUCUCUAUGGUGAAACCUAUUAUUAUAUCACCAUUAAGUAGUGAUUAAAUAUACAUUGUCCUUGUAUAAAUAUAUUAUGUUAAUAGUACUUCCAUGAUCUUAUAAAACUUCAGGAUUAUUCCAAAACCAAUACAUGUAGAAAAUUCCAUUUUUUUAGUUGAUAAUGUAUUCAUUUUCCUCUACCACCUCAGUCCAUCAGACCACAGGUACAGAAAAGAGAUUGUGGACCAUAUGCAAAACUUCAGAUCUUAAAUAUGUUUCAUAAAUACUGUAUGAAAAUUGAGUUUUUAGGGGACUCAUCCUGAUACAUCCAGUAUAGAAAAACCUGCAGACAAAUCUGGGUUAAUAACACUAAAGCCAUGGAGUUACCUACCACUGAGUAUUCACCCUGCCAUCUGAAAGGUGCAAAUAUUAUCAAGCGACUUUUGUUGCUCCUAUUGGCAAACUCCAUGCUGUUAACAGAAUCUGAGCUGCUUUGAAGCUUCUUCACAUUCCUUUCCCAAAAAAAAAUCAGUAUUUAGAUGGUCUCACUCAAACACAGAUAUUUGGGUGGAAUAAUGUGCUAGUUCCUGUCAUUCUUCUGUGAAACACAUCCAAAGGACUCGCCUUCAAAGCAGUCUCUGAAGUGAAACCCUUGGAAAGAAUUAUGGGUCCUGUGGAAGUCAUGAGAACUGGUUGUAAUUUUAACACUACAGCUUGGGUUUGCCAGGUGACUGGAAUGCAGAGAUACAUAAAAACUUGAGGAAACACAGCAACAAUAUGCAACUGGUUGCAUAUGAUUAAUGUUUUACCAAGUGCAUUUUGACAGCGUUGAAGUACAAAAUACAUGAAAUAAUGAAAACUGCAAACAAGCAGUCUUUGUUUAAAUAAUGUCUGAAUAGUAUUCAGAAUCAACUUAAAUUUACUAUUUCAUUUUUAGCCAAAUAAAACCAUAUUGUCUCAUUUGAAAAGACAUACAUGGCUUUGCAAAUACUGUUUAUAAUUUUUGAGACUUGUUAUCAAAGCAUCUCGUGUAUUACAGAAGUAAAAAAUUCUUCAUUGAUAAAAUAUUUUUUUCAGUUUAAGGGAUGGAACACCAAAGACUCUUUUUACAUUUAAAAUAAUGGUCACCAAAUUAAAAUAUUAAUAGCAAUUAACUUUGAAAUAGUAGCUUUCCCAGAAUUUUGAUGAUGUAAUACAGGGACAACUUGAAGCCUGUGAUAUUGUUCUUAAAAUGGAACAGGCUGGUAAAAUGUGCAGGAAGCUGAGGAGAAAAAUGCCCUAAAAAAAAAAGACAAUUGGAUAUAUAAACGGUAUUUAAAUAAAAAAAAAAAUCUUUAUAGUCUCUUUGAAUAGCUUGGUCCAUUUGAUUUUUACAUUUUUUUUUUAAUGCAUGAUAAGAAUUUAUUAGAGGAAACAUAGUUUAUACCGAAUUAAAGAUAGACCUGCUGCUGGGCAGAAAGAAAAAAAAUGGUAUUUCCCAUUUCCUGAAUGUACUCAUGAGGGACUCAAUCUAGUCCUUUAUCAGUAAAAACCAGAGAAGAAAGAUCUUCUCUGCAAUCCAAACUACUCCAAUGAAAGCAUAUGAAAGCUACAAGUCUGACAAAUUGGGCUGCAUGCACAAUCUCUAAUAUAAACAGUGCACAAAGACUAUCAUGCAUAUUUUCUUCAGUUUCUUAAAUGUAAGCUGUUGGUGUUUUUUGGUAGACUGAUCUCUUUUUUUCCUUCUAGCUACAGAUUUUAAUAUAAGAUUUAGGUUUGGAGCAAUAGGAACAUCCUUAUACAAAUAGAAGCCCCUGCUAGUCCUUUAAAAUUUCAAAAACUAAAUAGAAUUCCAUUCAGCUACAAUUUUUUUUUCCUUGAAGAGAAACUGAUUGGGAAUUGUAAGAUCCACAUACUUUUUUUUUUUUUUUUUUUUUUUUUUUUUUUUUUUUGUGGAAAUAAUUCUGUUGGGAAACACAUAAUUAAAUACAUAAUAAAAAAAAA